UACGUAGGUGGCAAGCGUUGUCCGGAAUUAUUGGGCGUAAAGCGCGCGCAGGCGGUCCUUUAAGUCUGAUGUGAAAGCCCACGGCUCAACCGUGGAGGGUCAUUGGAAACUGGGGGACUUGAGUACAGAAGAGAAGAGUGGAAUUCCACGUGUAGCGGUGAAAUGCGUAGAUAUCGAGAGGAACACCAGUGGCGAAGGCGAGUCCCUGGACAACUUCUGACGCUGAGGCACGAAAGCUAGGGGAGCAAACAGG
rnacentral:rRNA from 1 species